rnacentral:rRNA from 1 species
GACGUACCACCCGAACGUUAUUCGGAUUCACUGGGCUUACAGAGUCCGUAGGCGGUGGAGAAAGUUAGGCGUGAAAUCCCUCAGCUCAACUGAGGAAUAGCGCUUAAAACUACUUCGCUAGAGAGAGUCAGAGGUAAGCGGAACUGAUGGUGGAGCGGUGAAAUGCGUUGAUAUCAUCAGGAACACCGGUGGCGAAAGCGGCUUACUGGGGCUUUUCUGACGCUGAGGGACGAAAGCUGGGGGAGCAAACAGG